UACGUAGGGCGCAAGCGUUGUCCGGAAUUAUUGGGCGUAAAGAGCUCGUAGGUGGUUUGUUACGUCUGCUGUGAAAACCUAGGGCUUAACCCUGGGCCUGCAGUGGAUACGGGCAGACUAGAGGUAGGUAGGGGAGAAUGGAAUUCCCGGUGUAGCGGUGAAAUGCGCAGAUAUCGGGAGGAACACCGGUGGCGAAGGCGGGUCUCUGGGCCGAUACUGACACUGAGAAGCGAAAGCGUGGGGAGCAAACAGG
rnacentral:rRNA from 1 species